UCUUUAGGGAUGAACAAAUAAAGUGGUUUCUUGGGAUGGAAUCUACUCCUGGUGAAGAUGCUAUGAA
rnacentral:pre_miRNA from 1 species